rnacentral:rRNA from 1 species
CAGUCGCCGCGGUAAUACGUAUGUCGCAAGCGUUAUCCGGAAUUAUUGGGCUUAAAGGGCAUCUAGGCGGUAUAACAAGUUGAAGGUGAAAAGCUGUAGCUCAACUAUAGUCUUGCCUACAAAACUGUAAUACUAGAGUACUGGAAAGGUGGGUGGAACUACACGAGUAGAGGUGAAAUUCGUAGAUAUGUGUAGGAAUGCCGAUGAUGAAGAUAACUCACUGGACAGAAACUGACGCUGAAGUGCGAAAGCUAGGGGAGCAAACAGGAUUAGAUACCCGCGUAGUCCCUGUCUCUUAUAC